AGCAUAUUCUUUUACUGCCAAUCAACAUUGUCGUAUGUAGGAAUAUAAAAAAGGUGAUCAAGUACUUGUGCAUUUGAGACGAGAAAGAUUUCCUAAAGGAACUUACCACAAGUUGAAAUCUAGGAAGUUUGGACCUUGUAAGGUGUUGAAGAAAAUCAGUUCAAAUGCCUAUUUAAUUAAGCUUCCACCUGAGUUGCAAAUUAGUCUGAUCUUUAAUGUUUCGGACUUGUAUUCUUCUUAUGGAUUUGAUGGUGUUGUAUCUUCCAUUAAGACUCAAAUUCAGCACUGCAAAGGCUGAUGUUAUUGAAGAAGUGUUGGAUGUCAAGGAAGUUCAAUCUAGACGAGGGAACUCAUACAGACAAUUCUUGGCAAAGUGGCUUGGUAAACCAGCAA
rnacentral:misc_RNA from 1 species